GCUUACGGCCACACCGCCUGGUUCACGUCCGAUCUCGUUUGAUCUCGGAAGCUAAAAUAGGUUGGGCCUGGUUAGUACUUGCAUGGGAGACUGCCUGGAAAUACCAGGUGCUGUAAGCU
rnacentral:rRNA from 1 species